CCCUUAGACGUUCUGGGCCGCACGCGCGCUACACUGACGAAGGCAACGAGCUUUCCUUUACCGAAAGGUACAGGUAAUCUUUUGAAACUUCGUCGUGCUGGGGAUAGAUCCUUGCAAUUUUUGAUCUUAAACGAGGAAUGCCUAGUAAGCGCAAGUCAUCAACUUGCGUUGAUUACGUCCCUGCCCUUUGUACACACCGCCCGUCGCUACUACCGAUUGAAUGGUUUAGUGAGGCCUUCGGAUCCGCGACUCGUUUGUGGAGAAGUUGGACAAACUCAGUCAUUUAGAGGAAGUAAAAGUCGUAACA
rnacentral:rRNA from 1 species